UGGCAGUCAGAGGCGAUGAAGGACGUGCUAAUCUGCGAUAAGCGUCGGUAAGGUGAUAUGAACCGUUAUAACCGGCGAUUUCCGAAUGGGGAAACCCAGUGUGAUUCGUCACACUAUCAUUAACUGAAUCCAUAGGUUAAUGAGGCGAACCGGGGGAACUGAAACAUCUAAGUACCCCGAGGAAAAGAAAUCAACCGAGAUUCCCCCAGUAGCGGCGAGCGAACGGGGAGCAGCCCAGAGCCUGAAUCAGUGUGUGUGUUAGUGGAAGCGUCUGGAAAGGCGUGCGAUACAGGGUGACAGCCCCGUACACAAAAAUGCACAUACUGUGAGCUCGAUGAGUAGGGCGGGACACGUGGUAUCCUGUCUGAAUAUGGGGGGACCAUCCUCCAAGGCUAAAUACUCCUGACUGACCGAUAGUGAACCAGUACCGUGAGGGAAAGGCGAAAAGAACCCCGGCGAGGGGAGUGAAAAAGAACCUGAAACCGUGUACGUACAAGCAGUGGGAGCACGCUUAGGCGUGUGACUGCGUACCUUUUGUAUAAUGGGUCAGCGACUUAUAUUCUGUAGCAAGGUUAACCGAAUAGGGGAGCCGAAGGGAAACCGAGUCUUAACUGGGCGUUAAGUUGCAGGGUAUAGACCCGAAACCCGGUGAUCUAGCCAUGGGCAGGUUGAAGGUUGGGUAACACUAACUGGAGGACCGAACCGACUAAUGUUGAAAAAUUAGCGGAUGACUUGUGGCUGGGGGUGAAAGGCCAAUCAAACCGGGAGAUAGCUGGUUCUCCCCGAAAGCUAUUUAGGUAGCGCCUCGUGAAUUCAUCUCCGGGGGUAGAGCACUGUUUCGGCAAGGGGGUCAUCCCGACUUACCAACCCGAUGCAAACUGCGAAUACCGGAGAAUGUUAUCACGGGAGACACACGGCGGGUGCUAACGUCCGUCGUGAAGAGGGAAACAACCCAGACCGCCAGCUAAGGUCCCAAAGUCAUGGUUAAGUGGGAAACGAUGUGGGAAGGCCCAGACAGCCAGGAUGUUGGCUUAGAAGCAGCCAUCAUUUAAAGAAAGCGUAAUAGCUCACUGGUCGAGUCGGCCUGCGCGGAAGAUGUAACGGGGCUAAACCAUGCACCGAAGCUGCGGCAGCGACGCUUAUGCGUUGUUGGGUAGGGGAGCGUUCUGUAAGCCUGUGAAGGUGUGCUGUGAGGUAUGCUGGAGGUAUCAGAAGUGCGAAUGCUGACAUAAGUAACGAUAAAGCGGGUGAAAAGCCCGCUCGCCGGAAGACCAAGGGUUCCUGUCCAACGUUAAUCGGGGCAGGGUGAGUCGACCCCUAAGGCGAGGCCGAAAGGCGUAGUCGAUGGGAAACAGGUUAAUAUUCCUGUACUUGGUGUUACUGCGAAGGGGGGACGGAGAAGGCUAUGUUGGCCGGGCGACGGUUGUCCCGGUUUAAGCGUGUAGGCUGGUUUUCCAGGCAAAUCCGGAAAAUCAAGGCCGAGGCGUGAUGACGAGGCACUACGGUGCUGAAGCAACAAAUGCCCUGCUUCCAGGAAAAGCCUCUAAGCAUCAGGUAACAUCAAAUCGUACCCCAAACCGACACAGGUGGUCAGGUAGAGAAUACCAAGGCGCUUGAGAGAACUCGGGUGAAGGAACUAGGCAAAAUGGUGCCGUAACUUCGGGAGAAGGCACGCUGAUACGUAGGUGAAGCGACUUGCUCGUGGAGCUGAAAUCAGUCGAAGAUACCAGCUGGCUGCAACUGUUUAUUAAAAACACAGCACUGUGCAAACACGAAAGUGGACGUAUACGGUGUGACGCCUGCCCGGUGCCGGAAGGUUAAUUGAUGGGGUUAGCGCAAGCGAAGCUCUUGAUCGAAGCCCCGGUAAACGGCGGCCGUAACUAUAACGGUCCUAAGGUAGCGAAAUUCCUUGUCGGGUAAGUUCCGACCUGCACGAAUGGCGUAAUGAUGGCCAGGCUGUCUCCACCCGAGACUCAGUGAAAUUGAACUCGCUGUGAAGAUGCAGUGUACCCGCGGCAAGACGGAAAGACCCCGUGAACCUUUACUAUAGCUUGACACUGAACAUUGAGCCUUGAUGUGUAGGAUAGGUGGGAGGCUUUGAAGUGUGGACGCCAGUCUGCAUGGAGCCGACCUUGAAAUACCACCCUUUAAUGUUUGAUGUUCUAACGUGGACCCGUGAUCCGGGUUGCGGACAGUGUCUGGUGGGUAGUUUGACUGGGGCGGUCUCCUCCUAAAGAGUAACGGAGGAGCACGAAGGUUGGCUAAUCCUGGUCGGACAUCAGGAGGUUAGUGCAAUGGCAUAAGCCAGCUUGACUGCGAGCGUGACGGCGCGAGCAGGUGCGAAAGCAGGUCAUAGUGAUCCGGUGGUUCUGAAUGGAAGGGCCAUCGCUCAACGGAUAAAAGGUACUCCGGGGAUAACAGGCUGAUACCGCCCAAGAGUUCAUAUCGACGGCGGUGUUUGGCACCUCGAUGUCGGCUCAUCACAUCCUGGGGCUGAAGUAGGUCCCAAGGGUAUGGCUGUUCGCCAUUUAAAGUGGUACGCGAGCUGGGUUUAGAACGUCGUGAGACAGUUCGGUCCCUAUCUGCCGUGGGCGCUGGAGAACUGAGGGGGGCUGCUCCUAGUACGAGAGGACCGGAGUGGACGCAUCACUGGUGUUCGGGUUGUCAUGCCAAUGGCACUGCCCGGUAGCUAAAUGCGGAAGAGAUAAGUGCUGAAAGCAUCUAAGCACGAAACUUGCCCCGAGAUGAGUUCU
rnacentral:rRNA from 1 species